rnacentral:lncRNA from 1 species
CACUCCUCUCGAGCGGCUUUCUUCUCGGAACACCAAGAUAUUAACCGAUCCAACAGUCUGCCUUAGGCCUUGAUAGGUGACUUCAAUGCAACAAAGUUUUGCUUUGAUAGGACUGGAGCUUCUGAAAGCACUCAUUCCUCACAGAUCUUCAAUGACUUCAUCUUCACCAUGGGUCUUAUCGAGAUAAACUCAUCCUCGUGC